rnacentral:misc_RNA from 1 species
GUCGCGACGGGCGCCGUGCUUGGCGAAGGCUUCUUCUUCGAGAGGGAACAUCCAGCGGAGCCAAGGGAUGUGCUCGGCCAUAGCCAGGGAGGCGCCGAGCUUGAGGCCAUUGGCGACAAUGGCCUUGAAUUCCAAGCCCUGUUCAUCCAUAACGCCAUUGGAAUUCACAAACCUCUUCCCAAAUGCGAGCCUUGUGAUGUUGUUGAAUGAAACUGCUCCCAGAAACUCCCUCAGCUUCAAGCUCUUUCCAUAGUUCUCAGAAUUAGUGCAGUGGUUGAAGAUGUCUUCAACCAUGGCGGAAACUUCAUCUUCU